rnacentral:pre_miRNA from 1 species
CUACUACUCCCUCCGUCCGAAAAUACUUGUCAUUGAAAUGGAUGUAUCUAGAUGUAUUUUAGUUUUACACACAUCCAUUUUGAUGACAAGUAAUUCCGGAUGGAGGGAGUAUUAU